rnacentral:rRNA from 1 species
AACGAACGCUGGCGGCGCGCUUAACACAUGCAAGUCGAACGAGAAGGCGUAGCAAUACGCUGGUACAGUGGCGAACGGGUGAGGAAUACAUGGGUAACCUACCCUCGAGUGGGGGAUAACCCGCCGAAAGGCGGGCUAAUACCGCGUACGCUUCCGAUCUUGCGGGAUCGGAAGGAAAGCUGUCCCAAGGGGGAUGGCGCUCAAGGAUGGGGCUCAUGUCCUAUCAGCUUGUUGGUAGGGUAACGGCCUACCAAGGCAUCGACGGUAGCUGGUCUGAGAGGACGAUCAGCCACACUGGCACUGCGACACGGGCCAGACUCCUACGGGAGCAGCAGUGAGGAAUAUUGCGCAAUGGGACGAAAGCCUGACGCAGCGACGCCGCGUGGGGGA